GAAGAAGUCUGUAGUUUUUAACCUUCGCCUGAUCUGUGAAUCACAUUUAGAGACAUUUCACCUUUUAGUCUUGGUUUGUUGUUUCCUUUCAGUUCCUUUUCCUUUUCACAUUUGUGUUUUAAAUUAAAAUUUUAAACUUACCUUGUUUGCCAUAGGAUUGUGAACUUUUAAAAACAUUUUGAAAACUUUCAUUUUUGGCUUAUGCAGAAUAUUUAAACAAACAGAAAAUUUUAAUCUUAGUCCAAAAUUUUGAUUUGAUGUGUCAAAAUCUUAUCCUGUUGCAGAAAUGCUCCUCCUCAAGCACAUUCUGAUGUGCAUUACUUCUGAUUAUAAAAGGAUUAUAAUCUGAGUUUGAAAAGUGUAGUGCCUUUGUGUACUGCAUUAGCAUUGCUAUUGAAAGUAGUUUUCUAAAAAAUAAUAUUUUACAAGACCAGUGAAACACCUGAUGAUUAAUUUCAAGGUAAGAUUCAAACAAACCAUGACUUAGAUUUCCUCGUCUUUUUAAAAUCAUAUUUCUAAGCAUCAUGUGAUUUAGAAGUGACAAAUACAGGUUGUAAGUGUUUGAUCGUCACCAUUAUCAUCCCUUUAUGUACAGAAACAACUCUUUUUUUUUUGCUGUCUGGUGGAUUAACAGCUGGACUGCAGGGUUCAAUUUAGUUUUAUUGGGGGCAGGAUAGUAAUUUUUUUUCCUCCAGAGGGAGCUGACUCAUCUGAGGAACAAAAUUUGACAGUGUUUCUCUCUAUCCAGCAGGUUUGGAUGGUGCUAUCAGCACACAGUUGACCAGCUUCAGCUCUAACAGCAGCUGUAACAGUCUAACACUGUGAGUGCAAAGGUCAUUGCUCUGCAAAAUAUCCCAUGGGCUUCUGCUGGUCUGUGCAGGCAGGGUGCCUUUCCCAGAAUCCUCCGAGUUGCAGUCUCCACUGUCCCUGUUUUGAACCAUGUAGUAAAGGAGUGCCCUAGGCCUGCCCUAAGACCGUCUGCCCUCCUGGCCUGAUGGUGGGCGGGCUGAACCAGCCCACCAGGAGCUCAAGUUCAGCAACAUAUGGUUCCAUCUCACCUUUUAGCCUACAUGUCCCACGCAUUAGUCCCAUGAAAGGCAAAGAUCCUGAUGUAGGGCAGCUUGUGGAUGGCGCUGUACUCAUCCCCAUAUAUGUGUAGGAUAUCAUCUGACCCUCUGACCAACUGGAGAAGAUCCCGUCACAGAAUAUGAAUGUGUGGACCUUUAGGCUGAAUGUAAAAAUGCAAUAAUUAUGUAUGUGUGUGUGCGUGUGUUUGUGUGUGUGUGCUCUGAUAUUUGUGGCAUGGUGAGGUCCAGGUACAGGGAGCACACCAACGGUAUGAGGCCAUGUAACCUCGUGGGGCCCAAAAUGCUAGGCCCCACACCUGUUUCCCUUUUAAUAAGCUAAGCAGCCUCCCCUGAUACUCCCCUUGCUUUUUUUCACUUGGCUUACAAGGUGACAAAAACUGAUUUUCAGUGUGUAAGUGUGUGUGGGAAAGCUCCCCUGUAGGUGGGAACCCGAAACUGCAGCUUAUACACACUCCAGGAAGUGUGGUUACACACUACAGGAAGUCACUACCCUGUCAGCAAAAUCUUGCGAGAGUCUACAAAAUUUUGAAUGCCAAUUUCAAUACCACCACGAUAUCACAUAGUUGUGCGGGGUGCACACUGAAGACUGUGUCGCUAUAGUCAUGUAGGUAAGUUAAUCAUAAAUCUUAUUUUAAUUCAUUUUUUCUCAUUUUGCAGGCUGGUUCUUGCAGCAAGAGAGGUCGUACCUGUGAAGACCAUCAAAGAGCUAAUCAAACCUGAGAACUAUGUGCAUGUUGUUUCCUCUGCAAGAUUCCUGGCUGGAUUCAGUGAAGAAAUUGGAAAAUAUAAAUGUCCAUCUCAAUGAGAGACAAAAAAACUGUGCAAGAUGCUGACGAAUUCCACAGCUGUAUCAAGAAAGUUGGAAAUUUGACAUUGUAAGCCAAGCAUUAACUCAACUUGAACAGUCAAAGUGGAAUGCUCCACAGUUCCUGCCAUUCACUCAGGACGUCCAGAUACUUUAUUACUUUUUAACUGAAAAACAGCAGCAAGUCCUGGAUGCCCUGAAAGAGGAGGUUUCACCUUCAAACUGGAAAGAUGUUGCUUAAAUGACACUGGCGCAAGUCAUCCUCUUCAAUCACCGAAGAGAAGGGGAAGUAUCAAGACUUUUAUUAUGUGACUUUUAAGGGUUUUAAUACUCAUGUUGUGACCUCAUCAACUAUUGUGUUUUUACUGUUCAUGCCUUAAGUAUUAACUUGAACAAUUAUACAAUUUUGUGGUCAAAUGAAUGUCAUGUUCCAAGUUUAAAUGUAAGACGCCAUGUG